UAUACAUAAAUGUAUAUUUCUAUUCCGUGAUUUACAUUUUUCGAUUCAUUCAUAGUGAUACAAAGAAAACAAUCAAUCAAGAAAAUACUGCUGUUUUUUACAGUGCAGUGUACGAAUUUACAAGUCCUCCUGCCGAAAUGAAAAGAGAUGUAGAACCAUUAGUUGCUCGCGUUAGAAGCAAGUGGAAAAAUAAUAAUAAAGAAAAUGUGAGUCCUCUUAGUAGUCCAAAUACUUCGAUGUCGGAAAAAUAAUGAAGUGCCUAUUCUUCAGCAACAGGCUUUCAAUUACCAUCUUUGAUUGACCUGACGGGCCCUUUACUUGAAGCUGAGCAGAGAAGAGUGCCAACUGACGUAUUGCAACAAAUACAAAAUGUCUC